UUUCUGGUAAUACUGGUUGGCCAGCCGGCCUUUCAUGGCUUGCAUAGCGGCUUCCGCGGCUUCCGUGUACAGCUCGCCUGGGAAGACAGCGUAAGGAAUUGCAUGAUGGAGAAUGAACAACAGAGAUCAGCUAUGAAAUUCAGAGAGUGCUUGCAACGGCCUGCCCCAGACAGAUAUCAAUGUUAUUCUGGCAUCUCUGGCAAGAAUUGUGAACAUCCAUGCACAAUCCAUUGACACAGGAUUGUUCUACAGCUGGCUUUCAACAGAAAUCGCCCAUAUUCUCGGAACUCCUGAGGACUGGAAGCAUGAACCACCUUCAUUAUUUUGUUGAAUUAAAGCCAC